UACGUAGGGUGCAAGCGUUGUCCGGAAUUAUUGGGCGUAAAGGGCGCGUAGGCGGUGCGGUAAGUCACCUGUGAAAUCUCCUGGCUCAACUGGGAGCUUGCAGGCGAAACUGCCGUGCUGGAGUGUGGGAGAGGUGCGUGGAAUUCCCGGUGUAGCGGUGAAAUGCGCAGAUAUCGGGAGGAACACCAGUAGCGAAGGCGGCACUCUGGGCCGGUACUGACGCUGAGGAGCGAAAGCGUGGGGAGCGAACAGG
rnacentral:rRNA from 1 species